GGCAAUUUGGUCAAGUGGUAGACGCGCCUGACGAACCUACAGAGGUCGGGGGUUCGAAUCCCGCUGGUGCGC